rnacentral:rRNA from 1 species
UACGGAGGGUGCAAGCGUUAUCCGGAUUCACUGGGUUUAAAGGGUGCGUAGGAGGGCAGGUAAGUCAGUGGUGAAAUCUCCAAGCUUAACUUGGAAACUGCCGUUGAUACUAUCUGUCUUGAAUACCGUGGAGGUGAGCGGAAUAUGUCAUGUAGCGGUGAAAUGCUUAGAUAUGACAUAGAACACCAAUUGCGAAGGCAGCUCGCUACACGAAUAUUGACUCUGAGGCACGAAGGCGUGGGGAUCAAACAGG